GCCCGCCUCCCGCCUGGCGCCGCCAGCCGGUGCCUCCCGCUGACACCACCACCCCCGAACGCCUGCCGCCACCACAUGCCUUCUUCCCGCUGACGCUGACCUUCGCUGCCUUCGCCAAUGCUCACUGACUGCCCAGCGCUCUCCGCUGCCAGACGCCUUCAGACUCCUGCCGCCGCCACCAGAGGCCCUCUUGCCAGGGACCCGGCUCCCUCGUUCUCACACAGGCCUCGCCAACUUGCAGCACCUCAGCUCAUAGUCUCCACAGGGAACAACUUCAUCUCUCUGAACUCAACUUAACGAAAGUUCUACUUGACCCAUUUCUGCAAACAUUUGCUGCUCUCUACCGCCAGGGUCACACGAGGCAGAAGGACCCAGUGGGGAGGCGCCUGCAGGGCCUUGGCUCCAGGACGGGACAGCGUGCGGCAGGGUCCCCGUGAGGAGCACACCCCCUUUGUGCCCCGAAUGCAGAGGAGGAGGCUGGGCCGCCGCUUCUCCAGGCCUUUGACCUUCAGCCGCAGACCAGAGCCUUCCCUUCUGUGCCAUCCCCCAUGACUGACUCUCUACGCCUUCAGGGACUCUUAGAAGUCACAGUGGUACCUGGAGCAGAGAGCAGCAGGAGCCAGAAGCCUUCUGGAGCCCCUUGUCACCAAGACACAGCCACGCUAUUGAGUUUUGAGGCAACAUCUAACAUGUUUCUUUGAAUUGUCAAUACAUUUUGAAGACAUUGCUUCAGCAGCACGUAAGCCUCGUUCUUGAAUUCUCCAGGAGAUUCUGUAAAUUACUUUAAUGCUUAAAAAAAAAGCCACUUCUUUGCCUUAGUGAAUUCUACAGUAUGCAACUAAAGAAUCCUGACCAAUACACUGUCUCCCUCAUUCCCAUUCCUAAAUGACUCUUACAUAUUUUAGCUGUUUCUUUUGUUUUUCUAGUAUUUGUAGACUUUUCAGUUUUAGAGAUUGUGGACACUCAUACCACAAAAGGCAUGGGUUAAGUUCUCUUAUGUUUCAUCCUAACACAGAGACUUCCCCUGCCCCAGCCUGUCAUAUAGAUACAAAAACUUUUUGGUUAAAUCACAUCUGAAUUUUUACCAUGUAAAGUUAGUCUCAGCUGAGUCAUGUAGUGUGCUAUGAUUACCCUGCUUUCCAUGUACAAAAUUUUAUCUAUCCUAUAGUUAAUACUUUUCUUAUUAUAUCAUUUGCUUGGCUUAGUACACAUUAACUCAUUCCCAAAUUCAUUUCCACUAGUGUACACCUCUUCUAACUACAUAAACCACACCAGGUACUAAAUCAGAUUUCUCUUUUAAAAAUAUUCUGCCUGGAGCUUUCCAUAUGCUUUCUUAAACCUGGGUUGGCUAGUCUUUGACUGUUGUGGAGCCUGCGUCCUGGGGUUUGUUACCCAUAAUCCUGGGGAUUCUCUUUCCCUCAAUACUAUGUUAGACCCUGUGAUUCCACCCAUCCCUCUUCUUUCCUAGUUUAUGCCCUUGUGUCAGUGAGCAAAUCCACCAGAAGCAUCUUUGGAAGCUUCAUUAGAGAUUAAGAAGUAGCUCACAGAAUCUCCAAGAGGACAGGAGAAUAGGGUUUGGAGACUGCAUCCAGAAACAAUAUCCAAAUUAUCCAACAAUCUAUAUUAAGGUGUUCCUAUACCUCCUGUGGUCAAAGGCACCAAAGACCUUGAAGAAGGGACACUACCAACUAGAAUUUAUGCCACUAUUGCCUCUGAAAACCCAAUCUCUCACCACCCUCUCCAGGAACAGAUCCUGUACAAAAUCGAUUCCCUCACAUUCCCUCCAAUUGAGGUCUCCAUAAAAGUGUCUGACUGGAGGAGCCCAGGUCAUCUGCCUACAUAUUUGCUGCAAUAGAUGCUGGACAGUUGAGUUCUGGCUUCAACCUUGUCAAGGCAAGGGUCAUAAUGUGGGAAUUUCCCAAUGUAAAAAGGGAAUUCAAAAUUGGCUGGUCACAAAUAUAACCACUGUCUAGCAAAGUUUGCAUGUCUGAAGUGUCUUUGUUGUAAUUUUACACUUUUCUUUUGGGAUUCUGAUGACAUUGUUUCACUGAAUUCUAGCAUCUAGAAAUCCAAAACCAAUUUGUUUUCUGAUCCUUUUUGUGCAAACCACUUUUACUCUCUGUAUACCUUGAGGAUUUUCUUUUGCUCUUAUUUUUUCAGAUUUAAUCAAGAUAAUUGGUCUUAUUUGUCAACAAUUGUCCUAGAAAUUCUGAUGUAGA